GAUGAACGCUGGCUACAGGCUUAACACAUGCAAGUCGAGGGGAAACGCCGGGGAAGCUUGCUUCCCCGGGCGUCGACCGGCGCACGGGUGAGUAACGCGUAUCCAACCUGCCUCUGACUGAGGGAUAACCCGUCGAAAGUCGGCCUAAUACCUCAUGGCAUCGUCUGCGGGCAUCCAACGACGAUUAAAGAUUUCAUCGGUCAGAGAUGGGGAUGCGUCUGAUUAGCUUGUUGGCGGGGUAACGGCCCACCAAGGCGACGAUCAGUAGGGGUUCUGAGAGGAAGGUCCCCCACAUUGGAACUGGGACACGGUCCAAACUCCUACGGGAGGCAGCAGUGAGGAAUAUUGGUCAAUGGGCGAGAGCCUGAACCAGCCAAGUAGCGUGCAGGAUGACGGCCCUAUGGGUUGUAAACUGCUUUUAUGCGGGGAUAAAGUGAGGGACGUGUCCUUCAUUGCAGGUACCGCAUGAAUAAGGACCGGCUAAUUCCGUG
rnacentral:rRNA from 1 species